AUGUGCAUUCUCGCUGGGGACUUCAAUCUCAUUGCUAGGGCCGCGGACAAGAGCAACCCGAACAUUAACAGGAGAUUGCUGGCUGCAUUCAGGGCUUUCAUCAAUGAAUUGCAGCUCAAAGACCUUUACCUUCAUGACCGCCGGUAUACUUGGAGCAAUGGGCAGCAAAAUGCCACUAUGGUGAAGCUGGACAGAGUGCUUUUCAACGAGGAAGGGAAUGCUAUGAUGCCGAGCUGUCUGCUUCAGGCUCUUUCAUCGGAUAUGUCUCAUCACUGUCCUAUCCUGCUGACCUGCGACGCUAAUUUCAGGCCCGUUCAAAAUGUUCAGAUUCAAAAACCAUUGGGUUCGCAUGGACGGAUUCCAGCAGGUGGUCAAUGCGGCGUGGCAGGCUGA
rnacentral:rRNA from 1 species